GUAGGCGGCGUCAGUCCGGAGAACUACGUCCUUCUGAGCUCACUUCCGCCGGCUUGAGUCGGAUCACUAUUCUUUACCGUCUCUCACCGCUUUUGUUCUCCCAUUUCCAACCAGCCGCCGCUGCUGACGAGACACAGCCAGCAGACCGGGGGAGACCACAGAGACGCAAAGUAGCGGAGCAGCCCGUCGCAGAAACGCCCGGUAGCCACAUGCACAGCGUCGUCCGCACGGAGGAUACGCGGCACUCCGUAGUUACAUAACUGGACUACUUCUUUUUCUAUCACUGUUGGGUUUUUUUUCCUCGACGCUUUUUCCAUUUUUUGUUGUUGUUGUUGUUGUUGUUGUUGCACCGAAACUGACUCCCGCCUCUCUUAACUCAAAAUGGAGAACGACGACAAAUACCUCCCACAGCUUCUGGCGGAGAAGGACAGCCUUGACUCGUCGUUCACGCACGCCAUGAAACUUUUAAACGCAGAAAUUGAUAGACUCCAGAAAGGCGAGACUAAAAAGGAGGCAGAAGCGUACCUGGACCUUUUCACAACAAAGAACAUCAAGCUUAAGGAACGAGUGCUCAUACCUGUCAAACAGUACCCAAAGUUCAAUUUUGUGGGGAAGAUUCUGGGACCUCAGGGCAACACGAUCAAACGUCUGCAGGAAGAGACUGGAGCCAAGAUCUCUGUCCUGGGCAAAGGCUCCAUGAGAGACAAAACCAAGGAGGAGGGGCUGAGGAAAGGCGGCGAGCCAAAGUAUGCCCACUUGUCUAUGGAGCUGCACGUGUUCAUUGAGGUGUUUGCCCCGGUGCCAGAGGCCUACCUGCGCAUGGCACAUGCCAUGGAAGAAGUCAAGAAGUUCCUGUUCCCCGAUAUGAUGGAUGAUAUCUGCCAAGAGCAGUUCAUGGAGAUGAGCUACCUGAAUGGAGGCCAGGAGCACGGAGCCCGGGGCCGAGGGGGCAUGGUCAGGGGCCGCGGAGUCCCUCCUGCUGGAGCUCACAGGGGCAGGGGAAUGCCUCCUCGCGGUGCAGCUGCCAGAGGAGGUGUGUCCCGAGGCGGUCCAGCCAGAGGUGGCGCAGUGAGGGGUGCCCCAACAGGCCGCGGAGGACCAACUGCAGCACCCGCUAGGGGAGCCGUGGCACCCCGCGCCAGGCCCCCUGCCGGUGGACCCCCCCAGAGAAUGGCACCCCCCCACCAGCACACCCCUGCUGCAGCAGCUGAGAGCUACGAGGAAUAUGGCUACGAUGAGAGCUACACAGACACGGCCUACGAGUCAUACGACAGCUAUUACAGUCAGCCGCAGGCAGAGCCAGAAUACUAUGACUACGGACACGGAGAAACCACAGAGUCAUAUGAGUCUUAUGGCCAGGAUGACUGGAAUGGGACCCAGCGAUCAGUUCCAGGGAAGGCUCCUCCCCCCUCCAGAGGUGCCAAGACGCCUUACCGGGAGCACCCAUACCGACAGUACUGAAGCAGACUCACCACCCUUAACGUGUCGCCCUGACUACCGCCUGUCUACCACGGCAGCUCUCGCUUUAAGAAGCCCGACAAAAGCACAGCUAUCGGUCACUGAGUGCCACGGAGACUGACAGUCUGCUGAAGUGAGACCUUACAAACCUCAGUGAAGCCGUGCACGGGAGCAGCUCAGCAUGAAGGAGGUGGUCAGACGGAGCUCUCGUGGGGGGGGUGGGGUUACCCCGUUGAAAGGCGGUGGCCCAGGGCCCAGUUCUGUUCCUGGCAGGGGAAUGGGGUUGUGCUGGCCGCCUGCCAAGUGACCCACAGGAGCCAGCUGAUGUAGAGCGGGGGGACAGGAGCUGGCUCCGACUCCCACUGGAGCAGGACUUAGACUGCAGCUGGUCAGCCAAGGCACUCGGCUCGCUGGGACUCCAGAGUAACCAAAGACUGAACAACCACUAAUUUUUCUGUGGACUGUUUUUUUUUAUUUAUUUAUUUAUUUUAUUUAUUUUUUUAUUUUACUAUUUCCACAUUUCAUGUCAACAUUGAAUUACUGUGCAUUAUCCUUGUGUAAUUAUUUUCUCUCAUUGAAUACGCCCACUUAAAGCCUUCUCUGAUUGCGCGCUGCUGUACACAGACAUCUGUGGACCACCCCCUCUCCCAAGAAAUGUAAUUGUUACAGCCUAAUUUGCCAUAAAAUGAGCACUCCUUUUAUAGUAUGCUGUGAAAUUGUUUUAAAUUUCUAUUAACCCUUGAAUAAGACAAGAAAAGAGCUCUUUCUGCAAGGCAAGCUGUAUUCUCCAAUCCAAGGAGGUCGGUGUGACAACUGUGUUUCAAGUCUUUGAACAUUAUUAUUUUAUAAUUUUUUUAUUUAUUUUUUUUUACAUUCUGUCUGCGUGUUGUUUAGUAUCCACGCCUCAUUGCCGCCUGAAAUUAGACUCAGCGGCGCAGAGUUCGAGAUGCGGGGAGGGUGCGGCUCUCUAUCUCGCCGCGACCGAGAUCACCGCGCCUUGGCAUCACACGGCCCUGUGCAGCCCCGAGGAUAUCGAAUGCUAAUGCGGCCGCCUGUUUGCAUGUACUCUCAUGUAUCCUCCCUGCAAAUGUGCAACACUUUCAUAACCGAAGCUGUCCUGUUCUCGCCCGUUCAGCAUCCAAGUAUGGUAAUUCGGCGAGAUGGACCCAGGAGGAGAGCCGCGUGUGAGAAAGGGACAGAGGGUGAAGACAGCCAUUACUAACUCGCCUCCAUCUAUCCAUCCAUCAUGCCUCUGUUGAUUUGAUUCCCCUCCACGCCAUUUCUUGCCAUUAUCACUGAUGAUAUUACGGCUGCCUGUGGUGCCGAGUUGCAUUUAGAGGUCAAAACUGUACUUUCCUGUAUUAAAAACACAUUUCUCUGUCCCGAUCCGCUGGUCUGAGGCAGCGUUAGCCAAGUCAGAGGCUCCAUUUAGUUUAUUGAAAGUGCUAGCAGCUUAGAGGAUAGAACAUUAGAUAUUAGGAUAGAAACCAUCAUUUGAGAUGAAAUGUCAGCGGGCCAAAUCCAAAACAGAUAAUUUUUCAGUCUUUAUGUGCUAUUAUGUCUAAAAUAAUGAUUUCUGUGUCUCCUAUAAUCUGAUUAAAGAUAAGUGAUGGUGUGGAAGCCGUCUCCUCUGUUUGAAUCGAUGAGCUGUCAGGAGUGUGAGGCUGGGGAAAAAGGAAGUAAAUUGUUACUGUGCAAUGAUCAAUAAAAGAAGACUUGAAUAUGUGCAA